rnacentral:rRNA from 1 species
AUUGAACGCUGGCGGCAGGCCUAACACAUGCAAGUCGAGCGGUAGAGAGGUGCUUGCAUCUCUUGAGAGCGGCGGACGGGUGAGUAAUGCCUAGGAAUCUGCCUAGUGUGGGGGAUAACGUUCGGAAACGGACGCUAAUACCGCAUACGUCCUACGGGNGAAAGCGGGGGAUCUUCGGACCUCGCGCCAUUAGAUGAGCCUAGGUCGGAUUAGCUAGUUGGUGAGGUAAUGGCUCACCAAGGCGACGAUCCGUAACUGGUACUGAGAGGAUGAUCAGUCACACUGGAACUGAGACACGGUCCAGACUCCUACGGGAGGCAGCAGUGGGGAAUAUUGGACAAU